rnacentral:rRNA from 1 species
AGAGUUUGAUCAUGGCUCAGGAUGAANNCUAGCGGCAGGCUUAAUACAUGCAAGUCGAGGGGCAUCACGAAUAGCAAUAUUUGGUGGCGACCGGCAAACGGGUGCGGAACACGUACGCAACCUUCCCGAAACAGGUGAAUAGCCCUCCGAAAGGAGGAUUAAUACACCGUAAAAUAAUUGGUUGGCAUCAAUUGAUUAUUAAAGGUAGCAAUACCGGUUUUGGAUGGGCGUGCGCCUGAUUAGGUAGUUGGCAGGGUAACGGCCUACCAAGCCUACGAUCAGUAACUGGUGUGAGAGCACGACCAGUCACACGGGCACUGAGACACGGGCCCGACUCCUACGGGAGGCAGCAGUAAGGAAUAUUGGUCAAUGGACGGAAGUCUGAACCAGCCAUGCCGCGUGAAGGAUGAAGGCCCUCUGGGUUGUAAACUUCUUUUAUCUGGGACGAAAAAAGGGCUUUAUAGCUCACUUGACGGUACCAGAGGAAUAAGCACCGGCUAACUCCGUGCCAGCAGCCGCGGUAAUACGGAGGGUGCAAGCGUUAUCCGGAUUUACUGGGUUUAAAGGGUGCGUAGGUGGAUAAGUAAGUCAGUGGUGAAAUCUUCGGGCUUAACCCGGAAACUGCCAUUGAUACUAUUUGUCUUGAAUACUUUGGAGGUAGGCGGAAUAUGUCAUGUAGCGGUGAAAUGCUUAGAUAUGACAUAGAACACCAAUUGCGAAGGCAGCUUACUACACAGUAAUUGACACUGAGGCACGAAAGCGUGGGGAUCAAACAGGAUUAGAUACCCCAGUAGUCC